rnacentral:rRNA from 1 species
UGGGGAAUCUUGCACAAUGGGCGAAAGCCUGAUGCAGCAACGCCGCGUGCGGGAAGACAGCCCUAGGGUUGUAAACCGCUUUCAGCAGGGAAGAAACUGACGGUACCUGCAGAAGAAGAUGCGGCCAACUACGUGCCAGCAGCCGCGGUGACACGUAGGCAUCAAGCGUUAUCCGGAUUUAUUGGGCGUAAAGAGCUCGUAGGCGGUCCGUUGCGUCUGCCGUGAAACCCGGAGCUCAACUCCGGGCCUGCGGUGGAUACGGGCGGACUAGAGUCCGGUAGGGGAGACUGGAAUUCCUGGUGUAGCGGUGGAAUGCGCAGAUAUCAGGAGGAACACCGGUGGCGAAGGCGGGUCUCUGGGCCGGAACUGACGCUGAGGAGCGAAAGCGUGGGGAGCGAACAGGAUUAGGAUACCCUGGUAGUCCACGCCGUAAA